rnacentral:lncRNA from 1 species
UGCAACAUGAGUUUUUAUUUUCAAAUCAUGGUCAAUCCAAUGUAUGUCCAGGCACAUCAUUUUAAAUACAAACGGACCUGUAGAUAAACCUAGAUUACAUCCGCUCACAACUGACACUCAUCUAGACUGAUAUGCAUCCAAGCACACACCAACAACCACCUUAUAUGCAUGUUGACUCUGAAAUUCAUGAGCGACAAAACAUUAUUCACACUCAGUUUGAAAAUGUUGCUCAUCCUGAUUGAACAACUUGAAGAUAGACCUGACGCAUUUGAGAAAUUUGUAGUGGCAAGUUUCAAUCCCUCAGAAGUUUAUUGCUUUAGUGGUUGGGAACAACAACAUAAACAAGGUGACAGACAUCAAUAUUCAACACUAGAGCUCACUCCCACAGCCACCAGCCACCAAUGCCAUGAUACCAAGAAACCAAGCCAUUUUUUCUUUGUGUACAAGAACUAUCACCAGCCAUUUCGUUUUCCACACUUCCACAGCUACCAGCCAACAAAGAAAAACACAAGCCCGCCUCAUCCUGCCUUUUUACACAAUAAUGCUUCCACAACUCAGCCCUUCGGCGCCUUGCCACUUUUGGGGUAACCACGUCGGCAUCGUCAAUCUCUCACUGAUCCAUCUGCAUGCAACAGGUCAACAACAGUUUAACACAUGACAAAUCACAAGGGGCCCAAUAAGGGAAAACUAGACAAACAAAAUUAAUUCUGCUGGCUAUUUCGAGUUUCGACAACAGCAAGAGACAAAGCACCAGCCACCUACAUCACAUUCGGCAAAUACUGGAAGAAAUGCUAAAAAACAUAAAAUGUUUGCUGAUUCAAAGAAAAGUUCAUGAUUUUAAAAACAAAUGUUCGGGAAAUAAAAAAAGGUUCAUGAUUUUGAAAAAUGUUUACGUAUUAUUUUUUAAGAAUUUUAAAAAUGUUAAAAAAAUAUCUUAAAAAGUUUGUGAAUUACAAAAAAUAUCAUCGAUUCAAUAAAUGAAAAAUGUCCAUGAAUUUGAAAUAAAACCCUGCAUUUAACAAAAAUGUUCAUCAAACAAAGUUCAUGAAUUCCAAAAAAUGUUGGCUGAUUCAAAAAAUGUACCCAGCGGCGGAGGCCGGGGACCGCUGCUGUCGGGCAAGCUGCUUGGUGACGUAGAAGUAGGGCGGCUGAUAUUAUUCCGGUCAGGACGUGUGCAUGGCCGGCCGCGGCCGCGGCACCCCGCAUCCCCGCACCACAUGCCCCCUACACCCCGUUCCCAGUCCCGGCCGCCACCCCGCCACCCUUAUUGCUGGCCUCUUGAUCCUUUGCCUUGGUUUUUAGGCGACAACCUUGUUGUGCUGUCGAUUUGAUCCUCCAUGCCUCUGCUUUAUGUGGAUCCUCCACUUCCGCCAGUCCGGCAGCUCGUCGAGUAGGUCCAUGCGGCAGUGGAAGCGAAAAACACGGGAAUUGUGUUGCAGAGGGGCAGUGAUUGGAGCAGAGAGGGUGGAGAAAGGGGGGAUUAUGCGGAAACAAUGUGUCCGCUCCAAAUACACGGGCUCCGCCUCGUUUUGCUGCCAGGGGUGUCGGAGUCCUAUGUAGCGGAUGUUCGGACUCCCGCAAAGGCACCCUUGUUUGCUUCCGGUUUGCGGCAUUUCGGACAACCAGGGCGGUCCUUGGUCCGAUGAGGUACCGUGUUGGAUGGCAAAGUGCGCCCGCACCGCUCGGCCCCGAUGGUUGUGGAUGGUUUGAGGGUCCGUGUUGAAGUGUUUCUACUGGUUUUGUUGUAAGAGUAGUUCUUAGGGGUAAGUGUUGAGUGGAAUCCUCGCUCACCUCUUUUAGAGUUUGACCAUGUUGUAAUACUAUUAGGUUUCAUUUUCGGGACGGGGAUGGUGCCCUUUUCCUCUAAAAAAACAUCACAAUCUGCAAGUACAGCAAAGCGGCAUGACCUUACGUCCUUACCCAUACUGGAGGCUGUCACUGUGAGCUUGGGAGUGAAAUGCAUGGAAGCCAGACAACCAUGUUUUAAGUAGUUCUCCGAUUUUGGAACAACAUGCAAUCCAACGGCAGUUGCAAUCGGGCGCUAGGUGUCGAUCGUUCGAUCUUCAACAUCAUACAAAAAUCAGAUGAUAAUUGUGGUACGGGUCUCUAGUUUUUCUUUGAAACUAUUUCAUGUACACAGCACUUGUCCGAUUUUUGUACGACAUGCAAUCCGAAGGCGUGUUGCAAUCUGGUGCUAGGUGACGAUGGUGAUUGUCAGGACCCCGAUUCCAAGUCACAUCGAUCUAGCCGGUAACACCUCAUAUCACUUUGCGGUCUCACGCACGGUAUUCCCACGGGUGUCGCCUUACCAUGGCCCGGGACUGUUUGCGUCUUUUGGCUCACAUAUAUGAUAGUGUCGCUACCAUCCAUAUGACAGAGAACCCGGGCCGACAUGACUAGUCGUGAACCCAAAGUGGCACUAACUUACGGGGACAGGCAUACAUGAAUCAACAUCGAGCAUGUCGGUCAGCAGCGUUCGAAUCCGAGUGGAGCGUGGAAGCAGCAUUUACAGAAUGACUUAGAGAUUUGUGAAGUACAGACCCGUUGACUGAAACCUCUCUCACAAGCAAAACAUGAUCAAACCCCAUAACUCGUUGAGUCUUAAUCACAUGAUGAUGUGAACUAGUUUAAUGCCACUAGUAAACUCUAUGGAUGUUGGUCACAUGGCGAUGUGACGUGUGAAUGUUAAUCACAUGACGAUGUGAACUAGAUUAUUGACUCUAGUGCAAGUGGGAGACUGUUGAAAAUAUGCCCUAGAGGCAAUAAUAAAUUAGUUAUUAUUAUAUUUCCUUGUUCAUGAUAAUCGUUUAUUAUCCAUGCUAUAAUUGUGUUGAUAGGAAACUCAGAUACGUGUGUGGAUACAUAGACAACACCAUGUCCCUAGUAAGCCUCUAGUUGACUAGCUCGUUGAUCAACAGAUGGUUACGGUUUCCUGACCAUGGACAUUGGAUGUCGUUGAUAACGGGAUCACAUCAUUAGGAGAAUGAUGUGAUGGACAAGAACCAAUCCUAAGCCUAGCACAAAGAUCGUGUAGUUCGUAUGCUAAAGCUUUUCUAAUGUCAAGUAUCCUUGAGAAAGCAAAGUUGAAAGAUGAUGGUAGCAAUUACACGGACUGGGUCCGUAACUUGAGGAUUAUCCUCAUUGAUGCACAGAAGAAUUACGUCCUGGAAGCACCGCUGGGUGCCAGGCCUGCUGCAGGAGCAACACCAGAUGUUAUGAACGUCUGGCAGAGCAAAGCUGAUGACUACUCAAUAGUUCAGUGUGCCAUGCUUUACGGCUUAGAACCGGGUCUCCAACGAAGUCCUAAGUCACACGCGCAUCCCGCACGCGUAUGGAUCACCCUUUCUACUAUAUAUAGAGACGAUCUUAACUAGAACAAGAGCCCCGCUGCUGCCACGGAUCGAUGAGGUGGCGCAAGCCUGCAUCUCCGGCGGGCAUCUCUAGGGUGCUUUAAUGACCUAACAAUGAUGACGGUCUGCUUCGUUUCGUUUCUAGUGAAGACUGUCAUUACACGGCGGCUCAAGGACCACAUGCAUAUGCAAUUCCAACCGGAUCAACUUGUUUGAUCGCUCCCUGGUGCUGCUUUGUCAUUUCAUCAUUAUUCAAAUUCUAACAAAAAAGAAGAAAGGCGCUAGAGCUUGUAUGCAUUUACACUCGAAUCAACGCAUACGCAUUGCAGACUACAAUUAUCACUAAGCAUGCAACAUGAGUUUUUAUUUUCAAAUCAUGGUCAAUUCAAUGUAUAUCCAGGCACAUCGUUUUAAAUACAAACGGACCUGUAGAUAAACCUAGAUUACAUCCGCUCACAACUGACACUCAUCUAGACUGAUAUGCAUCCAAGCACACACCAACAACCACCUUAUAUGCAUGUUGACUCUGAAAUUCAUGAGCGGCAAAACAUUAUUCACACUCAGUUUGAAAAUGUUGCUCAUCCUGAUUGAACAACUUGAAGAUAGACCUGACGCAUUUGAGAAAUUUGUAGUGGCAAGUUUCAAUCCCUCAGAAGUUUAUUGCUUUAGUGGUUGGGAACAACAACAUAAACAAGGUGACAGACAUCAAUAUUCAACACUAGAGCUCACUCCCACAGCCACCAGCCACCAAUGCCAUGAUACCAAGAAACCAAGCCAUUUUUUCUUUGUGUACAAGAACUAUCACCAGCCAUUUCGUUUUCCACACUUCCACAGCUACCAGCCAACAAAGAAAAACACAAGCCCGCCUCAUCCUGCCUUUUUACACAAUAAUGCUUCCACAACUCAGCCCUUCGGCGCCUUGCCACUUUUGGGGUAACCACGUCGGCAUCGUCAAUCUCUCACUGAUCCAUCUGCAUGCAACAAGUCAACAACAGUUUAACACAUGACAAAUCACAAGGGGCCCAAUAAGGGAAAACUAGCCAAACAAAAUUAAUUCUGCUGGCUAUUUCGAGUUUCGACAACAGCAAGAGACAAAGCACCAGCCACCUACAUCACAUUCGGCAAAUACUGGAAGAAAUGCUAAAAAACAUAAAAUGUUUGCUGAUUCAAAUAAAAGUUCAUGAUUUUAAAAACAAAUGUUCGGGAAAUAAAAAAAGGUUCAUGAUUUUGAAAAAUGUUUACGUAUUAUUUUUUAAGAAUUUUAAAAAUGUUAAAAAAAUAUCUUAAAAAGUUUGUGAAUUACAAAAAAUAUCGUCGAUUCAAUAAAUGUCCGAUGAUUAAAAAAAUGUCCAUGAAUUUGAAAUAAAACCCUGCAUUUAACAAAUAUGUUCAUCAAACAAAGUUCAUGAAUUCCAAAAAAUGUUGGCUGAUUCAAAAAAUGUACCCAGCGGCGGAGGCCGGGGACCGCUGCUGUCGGCCAAGCUGCUUGGUGACGGAGAAGUAGGGCGGCUGAUAUUAUUCCGGUCAGGACGUGUGCAUGGCCGGCCGCGGCCGCGGCACCCCGCAUCCCCGCACCACAUGCCCCCUACACCCCGUUCCCAGUCCCGGCCGCCACCCCGCCACCCUUAUUGCUGGCCUCUUGAUCCUUUGCCUUGGUUUUUAGGCGACAACCUUGUUGUGUUGUCGAUUUGAUCCUCCAUGCCUCUGCUUUAUGUGGAUCCUCCACUUCCGCCAGUCCGGCAGCUCGUCGAGUAGGUCCAUGCGGCAGUGGAAGCAAAAAACACGGGAAUUGUGUUGCAGAGGGGCAGUGAUUGGAGCAGAGAGGGUGGAGAAAGGGGGGAUUAUGCGGAAACAAUGUGUCCGCUCCAAAUACACGGGCUCCGCCUCGUUUUGCUGCCAGGGGUGUCGGAGUCCUAUGUAGCGGAUGUUCGGACUCCCGCAAAGGCACCCUUGUUUGCUUCCGGUUUGCGGCAUUUCGGACAACCAGGGCGGUCCUUGGUCCGAUGAGGUACCGUGUUGGAUGGCAAAGUGCGCCCGCACCGCUCGGCCCCGAUGGUUGUGGAUGGUUUGAGGGUCCGUGUUGAAGUGUUUCUACUGGUUUUGUUGUAAGAGUACUUCUUAGGGGUAAGUGUUGAGUGGAAUCCUCGCUCACCUCUUUUAGAGUUUGACCAUGUUGUAAUACUAUUAGGUUUCAUUUUCGGGACGGGGUUGGUGCCCUUUUCCUCUACAAAAACAUCACAAUCUGCAAGUACAGCAAAGCGGCAUGACCUUACGUCCUUACCCAUACUGGAGGCUGUCACUGUGAGCUUGGGAGUGAAAUGCAUGGAAACCAGACAACCAUGUUUUAAGUAGUUCUCCGAUUUUGGAACAACAUGCAAUCCAACGGCAGUUGCAAUCGGGCGCUAGGUGUCGAUGGUUCGAUCUUCAACAUCAUACAAAAAUCAGAUGAUAAUUGUGGUACGGGUCUCUAGUUUUUCUUUGAAACUAUUUCAUGUACACAGCACUUGUCUGAUUUUUGUACGACAUGCAAUCCGAAGGCGUGUUGCAAUCUGGUGCUAGGUGACGAUGGUGAUUGUCAGGACCCCGAUUCCAAGUCACAUCGAUCUAGCCGGUAACACCUCAUACCAUUUUGCGGUCUCACGCACGGUAUUCCCACGGGUGUCGCCUUACCAUGGCCCGGGACUGUUUGCGUCUUUUGGCUCACAUAUAUGAUAGUGUCGCUACCAUCCAUAUGACAGAGAACCCGGGCCGACAUGACUAGUCGUGAACCCAAAGUGGCACUAACUUACGGGGACAGGCAUACAUGAAUCAACAUCGAGCAUGUCGGUCAGCAGCGUUUGAAUCCGAGUGGAGCGUGGAAGCAGCAUUUACAGAAUGACCUAGAGAUUUGUGAAGUACAGACCUGUUGACUGAAACCUCUCUCACAAGCAAAACAUGAUCAAACCCCAUAACUCGUUGAGUCUUAAUCACAUGAUGAUGUGAACUAGUUUAAUGACACUAGUAAACUCUAUGGAUGUUGGUCACAUGGCGAUGUGACGUGUGAAUGUUAAUCACAUGACGAUGUGAACUAGAUUAUUGACUCUAGUGCAAGUGGGAGACUGUUGGAAAUAUGCCCUAGAGGCAAUAAUAAAUUAGUUAUUAUUAUAUUUCCUUGUUCAUGAUAAUCGUUUAUUAUCCAUGCUAUAAUUGUGUUGAUAGGAAACUCAGAUACGUGUGUGGAUACAUAGACAACACCAUGUCCCUAGUAAGCCUCUAGUUGACUAGCUCGUUGAUCAACAGAUGGUUACGGUUUCCUGACCAUGGACAUUGGAUGUCGUUGAUAACGGGAUCACAUCAUUAGGAGAAUGAUGUGAUGGACAAGAACCAAUCCUAAGCCUAGCACAAAGAUCGUGUAGUUCGUAUGUUAAAGCUUUUCUAAUGUCAAGUAUCCUUGAGAAAGCAAAGUUGAAAGAUGAUGGUAGCAAUUACACGGACUGGGUCCGUAACUUGAGGAUUAUCCUCAUUGAUGCACAGAAGAAUUACGUCCUGGAAACACCGCUGGGUGCCAGGCCUGCUGCAGGAGCAACACCAGAUGUUAUGAACGUCUGGCAGAGCAAAGCUGAUGACUACUCAAUUGUUCAAUGUGCCAUGCUUUACGGCUUAGAACCGGGUCUUCAACGAAGUCCUAAGUCACACGCGCAUCCCGCACGCGGAUGGAUCACCCUUUCUACUAUAUAUAGAGACGGUCUUAACUAGAACAAGAGCCCCGCUGCUGCCACGGAUCGAUGAGGUGGCGCAAGCCUGCAUCUCCGGCAGGCAUCUCUAGGGUGCUUUAAUGACCUAACAAUGAUGACGGUCUGCUUCGUUUCGUUUCCAGUGAAGACAGUCAUUACACGGCGGCUCAAGGACCACAUGCAUAUGCAAUUCCAACCGGAUCAACUUGUUUGAUCGCUCCCUGGUGCUGCUUUGUCAUUUCAUCAUUAUUCAAAUUCUAACAAAAAAAGAAGAAAGGCGCUAGAGCUUGUAUGCAUUUACAAUCGAAUCAACGCAUACGCAUUGCACACUACAAUUAUCACUAAGCAUGCAACAUGAGUUUUUAUUUUCAAAUCAUGGUCAAUCCAAUGUAUGUCCAGGCACAUCGUUUUAAAUACAAACCGACCUGUAGAUAAACCUAGAUUACAUCCGCUCACAACUGACACUCAUCUAGACUGAUAUGCAUCCAAGCACACACCAACAACCACCUUAUAUGCAUGUUGACUCUGAAAUUCAUGAGCGACAAAACAUUAUUCACACUCAGUUUGAAAAUGUUGCUCAUCCUGAUUGAACAACUUGAAGAUAGACCUGACACAUUUGAGAAAUUUGUAGUGGCAAGUUUCAAUCCCUCAGAAGUUUAUUGCUUUAGUGGUUGGGAACAACAACAUAAACAAGGUGACAGACAUCAAUAUUCAACACUAGAGCUCACUCCCACAGCCACCAGCCACCAAUGCCAUGAUACCAAGAAACCAAGCCAUUUUUUCUUUGUGUACAAGAACUAUCACCAGCCAUUUCGUUUUCCACACUUCCACAGCUACCAGCCAACAAAGAAAAACACAAGCCCGCCUCAUCCUGCCUUUUUACACAAUAAUGCUUCCACAACUCAGCCCUUCGGCGCCUUGCCACUUUUGGGGUAACCACGUCGGCAUCGUCAAUCUCUCACUGAUCCAUCUGCAUGCAACAGGUCAACAACAGUUUAACACAUGACAAAUCACAAGGGGCCCAAUAAGGGAAAACUAGCCAAACAAAAUUAAUUCUGCUGGCUAUUUCGAGUUUCGACAACAGCAAGAGACAAAGCACCAGCCACCUACAUCACAUUCGGCAAAUACUGGAAGAAAUGCUAAAAAACAUAAAAUGUUUGCCGAUUCAAAGAAAAGUUCAUGAUUUUAAAAAAAAUGUUCGGGAAAUAAAAAAAGGUUCAGGAUUAUAAAAAAUGUUUACGUAUUAUUUUUUAAGAAUUUUAAAAGUGUUAAAAAAAUAUCUUAAAAAGUUUGUGAAUUACAAAAAAUAUCUCGAUUCAAUAAAUGUCCGAUGAUUAAAAAAAUGUCCAUGAAUUUGAAAUAAAACCUUGCAUUUAACAAAAAUGUUCAUCAAACAAAGUUCAUGAAUUCCAAAAAAUGUUGGCGGAUUCAAAAAAUGUACCCAGCGGCGGAGGCCGGGGACUGCUGCUGUCGGCCAAGCUCCUUGGUGACGUAGAAGUAGGGCAGCUGAUAUUAUUCCGGUCAGGACGUGUGCAUGGCCGGCCGCGGCCGUGGCACCCCGCAUCCCCGCACCACAUGCCCCCUACACCCCGUUCCCAGUCCCGGCCGCCACCCCGCCACCCUUAUUGCUGGCCUCUUGAUCCUUUGCCUUGGUUUUUAGGCGACAACCUUGUUGUGCUGUCGAUUUGAUCCUCCAUGCCUCUGCUUUAUGUGGAUCCUCCACUUCCGCCAGUCCGGCAGCUCGUCGAGUAGGUCCAUGCGGCAGUGGAAGCGAAAAACACGGGAAUUGUGUUGCAGAGGGGCAGUGAUUGGAGCAGAGAGGGUGGAGAAAGGGGGGAUUAUGCGGAAACAAUGUGUCCGCUCCAAAUACACGGGCUCCGCCUCGUUUUGCUGCCAGGGGUGUCGGAGUCCUAUGUAGCGGAUGUUCGGACUCCCGCAAAGGCACCCUUGUUUGCUUCCGGUUUGCGGCAUUUCGGACAACCAGGGCGGUCCUUGGUCCGAUGAGGUACCGUGUUGGAUGGCAAAGUGCGCCCGCAUCGCUCGGCCCCGAUGGUUGUGGAUGGUUUGAGGGUCCGUGUUGAAGUGUUUCUACUGGUUUUGUUGUAAGAGUAGUUCUUAGGGGUAAGUGUUGAGUGGAAUCCUCGCUCACCUCUUUUAGAGUUUUACCAUGUUGUAAUACUAUUAGGUUUCAUUUUCGGGACGGGGUUGGUGCCCUUUUCCUCUAAAAAAACAUCACAAUCUGCAAGUACAUCAAAGCGGCAUGACCUUACGUCCUUACCCAUACUGGAGGCUGUCACUGUGAGCUUGGGAGUGAAAUGCAUGGAAACCAGACAACCAUGUUUUAAGUAGUUCUCCGAUUUUGGAACAACAUGCAAUCCAACGGCAGUUGCAAUCGGGCGCUAGGUGUCGAUGGUUCGAUCUUCAACAUCAUACAAAAAUCAGAUGAUAAUUGUGGUACGGGUCUCUAGUUUUUCUUUGAAACUAUUUCAUGUACACAGCACUUGUCCGAUUUUUGUACGACAUGCAAUCCGAAGGCGUGUUGCAAUCUGGUGCUAGGUGACGAUGGUGAUUGUCAGGACCCCGAUUCCAAGUCACAUCGAUCUAGCCGGUAACACCUCAUAUCACUUUGCGGUCUCACGCACGGUAUUCCCACGGGUGUCGCCUUACCAUGGCCCGGGACUGUUUGCGUCUUUUGGCUCACAUAUAUGAUAGUGUCGCUACCAUCCAUAUGACAGAGAACCUGGGCCGACAUGACUAGUCGUGAACCCAAAGUGGCACUAACUUACGGGGACAGGCAUACAUGAAUCAACAUCGAGCAUGUCGGUCAGCAGCGUUCGAAUCCGAGUGGAGCGUGGAAGCAACAUUUACAGAAUGACCUAGAGAUUUGCGAAGUACAGACCCGUUGACUGAAACCUCUCUCACAAGCAAAACAUGAUCAAACCCCAUAACUCGUUGAGUCUUAAUCACAUGAUGAUGUGAACUAGUUUAAUGACACUAGUAAACUCUAUGGAUGUUGGUCACAUGGCGAUGUGACGUGUGAAUGUUAAUCAGAUGACGAUGUGAACUAGAUUAUUGACUCUAGUGCAAGUGGGAGACUGUUGGAAAUAUGCCCUAGAGGCAAUAAUAAAUUAGUUAUUAUUAUAUUUCCUUGUUCAUGAUAAUCGUUUAUUAUCCAUGCUAUAAUUGUGUUGAUUGGAAACUCAGAUACGUGUGUGGAUACAUAGACAACACCAUGUCCCUAGUAAGCCUCUAGUUGACUAGCUCGUUGAUCAACAGAUGGUUACGGUUUCCUGACCAUGGACAUUGGAUGUCGUUGAUAACGGGAUCACAUCAUUAGGAGAAUGAUGUGAUGGACAAGAACCAAUCCUAAGCCUAGCACAAAGAUCGUGUAGUUCGUAUGCUAAAGCUUUUCUAAUGUCAAGUAUCCUUGAGAAAGCAAAGUUGAAAGAUGAUGGUAGCAAUUACACGGACUGGGUCCGUAACUUGAGGAUUAUCCUCAUUGCUGCACAGAAGAAUUACGUCCUGGAAGCACCACUGGGUGCCAGGCCUGCUGCAGGAGCAACACCAGAUGUUAUGAACGUCUGGCAGAGCAAAGCUGAUGACUACUCAAUAGUUCAGUGUGCCAUGCUUUACGGCUUAGAACCGGGUCUUCAACGAAGUCCUAAGUCACACGCGCAUCCCGCACGCGGAUGGAUCACCCUUUCUACUAUAUAUAGAGACGGUCUUAACUAGAACAAGAGCCCCGCUGCUGCCAUGGAUCGAUGAGGUGGCGCAAGCCUGCAUCUCCGGCGGGCAUCUCUAGGGUGCUUUAAUGACCUAACAAUGAUGACGGUCUGCUUGGUUUCGUUUCCAGUGAAGAUAGUCAUUACACGGCGGCUCAAGGACCACAUGCAUAUGCAAUUCCAACCGGAUCAACUUGUUUGAUCGCUCCCUGGUGCUGCUUUGUCAUUUCAUCAUUAUUCAAAUUCUAACAAAAAAGAAGAAAGGCGCUAGAGCUUGUAUGCAUUUACAAUCGAAUCAACGCAUACGCAUUGCACACUACGAUUAUCACUAAGCAUGCAACAUGAGUUUUUAUUUUCAAAUCAUGGUCAAUCCAAUGUAUGUCCAGGCACAUCAUUUUAAAUACAAAUGGACCUGUAGAUAAACCUGGAUUACAUCCGCUCACAACUGACACUCAUCUAGACUAAUAUGCAUCCAAGCACGCACCAACAACCACCUUAUAUGCAUGUUGACUCUGAAAUUCAUGAGCGACAAAACAUUAUUCACACUCAGUUUGAAAAUGUUGCUCAUCCUGAUUGAACAACUUGAAGAUAGACCUGACACAUUUGAGAAAUUUGUAGUGGCAAGUUUCAAUCCCUCAGAAGUUUAUUGCUUUAGUGGUUGGGAACAACAACAUAAACAAGGUGACAGACAUCAAUAUUCAACACUAGAGCUCACUCCCACAGCCACCAGCCACCAAUGCCAUGAUACCAAGAAACCAAGCCAUUUUUUCUUUGUGUACAAGAACUAUCACCAGCCAUUUCGUUUUCCACACUUCCACAGCUACCAGCCAACAAAGAAAAACACAAGCCCGCCU